GAUGAACGCUGGCGGCGUGCUUAACACAUGCAAGUCGAACGAAGCACUUUUACAGAUUUCUUCGGAAUGAAGUUUUAGUGACUGAGUGGCGGACGGGUGAGUAACGCGUGGGUAACCUGCCUCACACAGGGGGAUAACAGUUGGAAACGGCUGCUAAUAACGCAUAAGCGCACAGUACCGCAUGGUACAGUGUGAAAAACUCCGGUGGUGUGAGAUGGACCCGCGUCUGAUUAGCUAGUUGGCAGGGCAACGGCCUACCAAGGCGACGAUCAGUAGCCGACCUGAGAGGGUGACCGGCCACAUUGAGACUGAGACACGGCCCAAACUCCUACGGGGGGCAGCAGUGGGGAAUAUUGCACAAUGGGGGAAACCCUGAUGCAGCGACGCCGCGUGAGCGAAGAAGUAUUUCGGUAUGUAAAGCUCUAUCAGCAGGGAAGAAGAAAUGACGGUACCUGACUAAGAAGCACCGGCUAAAUACGUGCCAGCAGCCGCCGUAA
rnacentral:rRNA from 1 species